CUCUAGGAAUCUAAACCCUUGAAAACAAUUUCCUCAGCAUGAAAGCUUAGGCCAAAAAUUGGAAGUGAAAUACAGCCCUCCUAUCUUACUCUACUCUUGGCCUGCCCUGACCUUUUAUUUUAUAACCAUCGGAUCAAAAUGGCUUGAUAACUAAUGAGGCAUGGGGCUCGCAGAACUUUUAUGCUACAGCUGCCUUGGUUUCUGAAGCUUUUCCCUGGUACUGCCUCCUGAAAAAGGAAGACAUAUUCCUCUCCGCCUUCGCAAGUGUCUUCUUCUACCUGUCUGGCCUAUAUGGAAUCAGCCCGCUGCAGACAGGAAGGUCUGCGGACACCCUACUGAGGUUGCGAGUUGCACGGAACACGCCAAAUCAGCCUGCGCCCCAGCAGCAAUCCACUGGACACCACCCUCCCCUCUGGCCUCUUCGCUGUAGAGCCACCUGGUUCCACACUACAAAGACGAAGAGGACACUGGACCACCAGACCACUG